GGGAUGUGCAGGCAGCAGUGCGUGCAGUGAGAUGUGUGCAAGCUGCUGCAGCAAGACAAGACCAGCAGCAGUGCUAAGAAGGAAUGCAGUGAGCAGUGCUGCCAGGCUUUUCUCUUUGAGGAACAUUUGUGUCUCCCACCUGAUGCUAUCAUAGAUUUGAAGAUGUGAAUGGACACUUCUGCCAUCACUGCUGCACUCUGGCACUGCGAUAGCUUCACAUUCCCCUUUCCCACCCCAAGUUUCCUUCCAUGGUCACACAACCAUGCAGAGCACAAUAUCAGACCCAGUCAUUGGGCACAGAUGAAAAAGCAAGCAGCAAAUUUCUUGGUGGAUUGUUUCCCUUCCUGUCAGAUCAACAUCAACCAACUCUCUGUGUCUGUGCAGUUGAUGCAUCUGGAACAGAGUGGGAACACACAGCUGGGAGCUAGGCAGGAGCAGCUUUCAGCUUGGUGAAACUGAACUGACAACAUUUAGCUCAUGCUAACCAUGAUUAUCAGUGUCAGCUGCUCAGCAAAGAGAGCUUGUCCAAAACAUGGUCAGAGAAUUUUGGUUCUCAGAAUGGACUUUGCAAGGUAUCAGCUCAGGCUGGCAAUGGAAACAAUUUCUGUUCUGUUCUAUGAACACUUCCCCUUCCCUUUGCCAAGGACAGGUCUUACACUGUGUGCUAGUUUGAACCUAGCUG